rnacentral:tRNA from 1 species
UCCUGGUGACCUAAUAGUUAAGGACUCAGCAUUGUCAUUGCUGUGACCCAGGUUUGAUCCCUGGCCCAGGAA